rnacentral:rRNA from 1 species
GACGAACGCUGGCGGCGUGCCUAAUACAUGCAAGUAGAACGCACAGUUUAUACCGUAGCUUGCUACACCAUAAACUGUGAGUUGCGAACGGGUGAGUAACGCGUAGGUAACCUGCCUGGUAGCGGGGGAUAACUAUUGGAAACGAUAGCUAAUGCCGCAUAAUAUUGAUUAUUGCAUGAUAAUUGAUUGAAAGAUGCUAUUGCAUCACUACCAGAUGGACCUGCGUUGUAUUAGCUAGUAGGUGAGGUAACGGCUCACCUAGGCGACGAUACAUAGCCGACCUGAGAGGGUGAUCGGCCACACUGGGACUGAGACACGGCCCAGACUCCUACGGGAGGCAGCAGUAGGGAAUCUUCGGCAAUGGACGAAAGUCUGACCGAGCAACGCCGCGUGAGUGAAGAAGGUUUUCGGAUCGUAAAGCUCGGUUGUAAGAGAAGAACGGGUGUGAGAGUGGAAAGUUCACACUGUGACGGUAUCUUACCAGAAAGGGACGGCUAACUACGUG